CGGCGUCGAGCGGCGGACGGGUGAGUAAUGCCUAGGAAAUUGCCCUGAUGUGGGGGAUAACCAUUGGAAACGAUGGCUAAUACCGCAUGAUGCCUACGGGCCAAAGAGGGGGACCUUCGGGCCUCUCGCGUCAGGAUAUGCCUAGGUGGGAUUAGCUAGUUGGUGAGGUAAGGGCUCACCAAGGCGACGAUCCCUAGCUGGUCUGAGAGGAUGAUCAGCCACACUGGAACUGAGACACGGUCCAGACUCCUACGGGAGGCAGCAGUGGGGAAUAUUGCACAAUGGGCGCAAGCCUGAUGCAGCCAUGCCGCGUGUGUGAAGAAGGCCUUCGGGUUGUAAAGCACUUUCAGUCGUGAGGAAGGUAGUGUAGUUAAUAGCUGCAUUAUUUGACGUUAGCGACAGAAGAAGCACCGGCUAACUCCGUGCCAGCAGCCGCGGUAAUACGGAGGGUGCGAGCGUUAAUCGGAAUUACUGGGCGUAAAGCGCAUGCAGGUGGUUUGUUAAGUCAGAUGUGAAAGCCCGGGGCUCAACCUCGGAAUUGCAUUUGAAACUGGCAGACUAGAGUACUGUAGAGGGGGGUAGAAUUUCAGGUGUAGCGGUGAAAUGCGUAGAGAUCUGAAGGAAUACCGGUGGCGAAGGCGGCCCCCUGGACAGAUACUGACACUCAGAUGCGAAAGCGUGGGGAGCAAACAGGAUUAGAUACCCUGGUAGUCCACGCCGUAAACGAUGUCUACUUGGAGGUUGUGGCCUUGAGCCGUGGCUUUCGGAGCUAACGCGUUAAGUAGACCGCCUGGGGAGUACGGUCGCAAGAUUAAAACUCAAAUGAAUUGACGGGGGCCCGCACAAGCGGUGGAGCAUGUGGUUUAAUUCGAUGCAACGCGAAGAACCUUACCUACUCUUGACAUCCAGAGAACUUUCCAGAGAUGGAUUGGUGCCUUCGGGAACUCUGAGACAGGUGCUGCAUGGCUGUCGUCAGCUCGUGUUGUGAAAUGUUGGGUUAAGUCCCGCAACGAGCGCAACCCUUAUCCUUGUUUGCCAGCGAGUAAUGUCGGGAACUCCAGGGAGACUGCCGGUGAUAAACCGGAGGAAGGUGGGGACGACGUCAAGUCAUCAUGGCCCUUACGAGUAGGGCUACACACGUGCUACAAUGGCGCAUACAGAGGGC
rnacentral:rRNA from 1 species